CCAAACAUCUUACGCAGCUUCCAAUUGUGUGCAGGAAGCUCCUGCAGCCAAUUGGAAGCCACACCUUGGUUAUCGAAUGUUUUCGGAAGUCGGACAGACUUCCGGAACAGAUUUCGUUCGACAACCAAGGUACGACUGUAAGUGUAAUCCAGCUAGCAGCUGUGAUCAUGAUGGAAAAGGAGCUGUGAGAUUCAAGUCUGGACCGUGCUCCUGAUCUAGACUGGCACCUUGUGAAGAUUCACUGCUGAAAAUUGCAUGUAUACACGCACACACAUUGUUUACAGUGUUUGUAGGAAACAGCAUCUUAACAGGCAAAUACCAGGUGUGUUCAACAUGAGCAGGUCUAGAAAUGGGUGUGAGGCCCCAAUCCAGCUUGGGAACACUUUCCAGAUAGGUAACCCCCAGCUUCUAUUUCUUCUAAAUGGUAGUGUGUGAAUAAUGCAACAGCUGGGUACUGCCUAGUUGGUGCCGACCCACAAUAGGGCCUUUUUGGUAGUGGCUCCCCAUUUAUGGAAGGCCUUCCAUGGGGAUAUGUUGUGUUUCUGUCUCCCUUGUUAUUAACAUUCAGGUGGAAUUUUAAAACAAUCCUGUUCAAUGCAUGGGCAUUUGAUGGCCGCAAUAUAUAGUUCCUGGCAACCUUGAACAUUUUAGCCGUGAGAAUACUUGAUCAUUUCUCUCUUAUGGAGGCAUAGAAUUGUAGAGUUGGAAGAGACCUAAGGGUCAUUUAGUCCAACCUCCUGCAAUACAGGAAGCUCUCUCUCUCAUAUUAAUGGCAUUGUUUUGCUGUUUUAUUUCUUGUCACCCUGUGCUCCUUUGAGAGGAAGGGUGGGAUAGAAAAUUAAUAAAUUAAUUUAGCUGAUUAAUAUUCUACAGCUUUUUUAAAUGUGGGGGGAGGCUAUUGUUUUGUUUUUGUUUUAACUUGUGUUUUUUUCUUGUGAACUGCCUUUAGAUCUUUUGAUGAGGGGCAGAAUCUCAAAUAAAUAAACAAAUCACCAGGGAGUUUGGCCCUCAGCCAGGUCAGUCCAGAUGAUAGCCAUUGAUCAAAUGUUUCCAAGUGAGACAGAGGGAUAGGGAUGGGGGAGUCCCCUUUGGUGAGAUACUCUUCAAACAGUGAAGGAAAUAUCACCCUGGAGCCAUUUUAGAAAACCGUGUCCCUGUUUUACUGCACCUGCUGUUUUUCACAGAACAUGUCCACGAAUGUACCAUGGACUCCUGGUUUAUUCUGCACCUCUUAGUGUCCCAGACUGGAGUUCCACAGCCAGGCAUUGUCACAAGAAAGUGAGCCCAUCACUCCAGAGCUGCUAGCAUUCAAGUAGCAUCCCACAUCUUUCAAGCCGAGUGCCCCCCCCCCAUCCUUGAGAGUUUCAAGCAGCAGAGUUGCUGCCAAAUGCACUCUCUCAAAUGCAUUUCAUCCAAGAAAAGGGUAGCACAGCACCACAUCACUUGCCCACCAGAAUGGAUGCUCAUUACCCUGAGAUAUCAAGGUCAGAGUUGAUUGAAGGUGUAAUUCUGUAACCAGUCUUCUGCUGCUGAUUUCAUACUCUGACAAUGAUGUGAGACCUUCCCACGCUUGUUUAACUAAAAAAAUAAAAUAAAUCUAUUUAACCGUCCUGCUCAAUCUGGAGAGGUAUGAACGCCCCCUUUCUCCCACCAGCCAAACAGCAGCCGUUUCUCUUGCACCAUUACUAGCAACAUAAUGUGAUCACUGGGUUGUCCAGUCCAACCUCCUGCAAAACAGGAACCAUAGCUAAAGAAUCCAUAACAGAUGGCCAUCUAACCUCUGUUUAAAAACCUCCAGUGAAGAUGAGUCCACCACCUUACAAGGGAGUCCGUUCCACUGUCAAACAGUUUUUACAUUCUAAAAGUUCUUCUUUAUGUUUACUUGGACUCGCCUUUCUCGUAACUUAAAUCUGUUGGUUUGGGUCCUACCCCUCUGGAGCAGCAGAAAAUAAGCCUUCUCCAUCUUCCAUGUGCCAGCCCUUUAGGUACAGUGGUACCUCGGGUUAAGUACUUAAUUCGUUCCUGAAGCACCACUUUAGCUAAUGGGGCCUCCUGCUGCCGCCGCGCCGCUGGAACAUGAUUUCUGUUCUCAUCCUGAAGCAAAGUUCUUAACCCGAGGUACUAUUUCUGGGUUACCGGAGUCUGUAACCUGAAGCGUCUGUAACCUGAAGUGUAUGUAACCCGAGGUACCACUUUAUUUGCAAGGUGGCUAUCAUAUCCCCUCUCAAUCUUCUCCAGGCUAAACACACCCAACUCCCUCAACCGUUCCUCAUAAGGCUUGGUUUCUUCAUGAGACAAAUUCAGGGAGAGUAAGGAUAUCAACAUCUACUAACCUUUUUUGCAGGAAGGGGGAUUCCUGCACUCAAGCAUUCCUGAGUUGCAAAGAGAGUGGCAGCAGCACACAUGCAGAUGAAUUUGCAGGUCUCUGAACUGAGCCCAGAAGCAAGCAAGACUGCUGAAUAGGAACUUAGGAAACUGCCUUAUACUCUUGGCCCAUCUAGCUCAGCAAUGUCUACACUGACUGGCAGCAGCUCUCUGGCCUCUCAGACAAGGGCCUCUCUCAGCCCUACCUGGAGAUGCCAAGGAUUGAACAUAUGGCCUUCUGCACACAAGACAGAUGCUUUGUCCCUGAGCUACAGCCCUUCCCUAAGGGAUCACCCUUCCCGCCUCCCCAUAGCAGCUUCUCGUGUGGGGAGGAACUGUAUGCAAAACCCUUCCACAAAUGUAUAUUGCUCCUCAUACAGGGCACCUGUAGGUUGCCACGAACAAAACACAUACCCUGAUGCUAUUUUGGGAAUACGCAGGAACAAAUGGUGCAUUGUGAAUCAAGUGUUGCCUCUUUAUGAAUGGAGAGGCUCUCAUCUGUGCGAAUGGUAAUGACUGGAUGUCACGGAGCCCUGGGGAAGAACUUUGCCAUGUGAGAAUAACACCAGCCAGUCCACAUGUUGUCAACCGAGAAGAGGGCAGGGGACUGAGGGUGGAGGAACAUGCCAUGCUGAUGCCCACUGAAUGUCCACAGGCAUGUCUCAUGUCAGUGCUUUUCCAGAAUGAAUAUGCUGCAUCAGGUCAACUGCAGAAGCAAAAUGUCAGGACUAAUAGUUUCACUAGCAAAAUAGGAAAUUUCCACCAAGGGGCAGGGGGCAAUUGAGGUAACAUAAGCAAAUCAGCAAAGUGUAUAUAUUGUGCAAUGAUUCCUUCUUCCACUACUACUUAGGUUUGGGGACAUUGCUUUGAGCAGAGAUUUCCUUGGCUCUGCAGAGAAACCCAGCAAGGGAUCUUGUUUGUAUUCUGGCAGUGUAGCUGAGGCAGACAGGUCUGCAGCAAACCGAUCUAUUUUUGGACUCCGGCUUGCCAUUUAUAUCCCGCAAAAUUAUUCAUCAGCUUCAGGGUGACAAGCUAUUAAUUUGUAUAAAUACGUCAGAGCAGGGCUUUUUCCACCACUCCGCCCUUUCGCCUUCAUGUGCGGCGUGACUGAGGUCAGUUUCAGAACACAAAUAAAGUGCCUUCAGCUUGCAGCCGGUUCCUUGUCUGCUGUUCAUUCAUAUUCUAGAUGCAUCAGCUUACCCAGUUCCAUUUGUUCCUUAUUAUUACUGCAGAGGAGGGCAAAAUAGCAGCAGGGCUUAGCUGGGAUUCCUCAGCUGGUUAUCUUUAGCGAUGCUGGAUUGGUGAUGACAGCAUCUUGUACAGGAGGGCAGAUAGUGGAGUUAUCACCUCAUAGUCUGUUAUAUUGAAGUGUUGUGUACUUAAGGAUAAGAUUACUACAGAAAAAGUUAUGGUUGGCUUGAAGUGGAAUCCCCUAUCUCAUAACUUAUGAACCUUGGCUACAUGCAUCCUCUCAGAUGGGGAGCUUCUAAUUCUUGGAAGCCAUUGUAUUUUCUGGACACUAGACCCAGGAACAUUUGACCCCCUCACCAGUGCUUCCAUAACAUAAAAGAGAAAUAAAAAUAGAAAGCAAAGCAUUGGGUCAUAGUACCACACACUACUAUACCAGGCAUGUUAUUAGAUCAGGGAUGAGGGUGAGGAGACUUAGGCCUGGGUGAGGGGGCGGGGGUGGCAAAUGCAGCCCUCUCUAUUUGGCCCUCAGAAUCAUACAAAGGCCACAGCCCUCCCCAGGCUUUCUUUGCAACCUCCUUUAGUAUAUUUUUGCCUAGCUGGAACAUGUCCAUGAGCUCUGAUGUUUCUUCCCUGCCUGGAUGGAUGACAGAAAGGGGUGUGCAAAUGGUAUGUAGCCC